CCUACGGGAGGCUGCAGUGGGGAAUAUUGGGCAAUGAGCGCAAGCCUGACCCAGCAACGCCGCGUGAAGGAAGAAGGCUUUCGGGUUGUAAACUUCUUUUGACAGGGAAGAGGAGAAGACGGUACCUGUCGAAUAAGCCACGGCUAACUACGGGACAGCAGCCGCGGUACUACGGAGGUGGCAAGCGUUGUCCGGAGUUACUGGGUGGAAAGGGCGUGUAGCCGGGUUGACUAGUCAGAGGUGAAAUCCUGCGGCUUAACCGCAGAACUGCAUUUGAAACUGUUGAUCUUGAGUACGGGAGAGGCAGGCGGACUUCCUCGUGUAGCGGUGAACUGCGUAGAUAUUAGGAGGACCCCCAGUGGCGAAGGCGGUCUGCUGGACAGCACCUGACGUUGAGGCGCGAAAGCGU
rnacentral:rRNA from 1 species